CGGUGUUCAACUGGCGUGUCCGCGGGACGUCCUGCCGGUGGGCUUAGCCCGCAAGGGCGGCCCAACUUCAAAUCCCAUCGCGGUGCUCUUCACUGAGUGUCGAGGUGGGCCGGCACGUUUACUUUGAACAAAUUAGAGUGCUUAAAGCAGGCUAAAACUUCGCCUGAAUACUGUGUGCAUGGAAUAAUGGAAUAGGACCUCGGUUCUAUUUUGUUGGUUUUCGGAACCCCGAGGUAAUGAUUAAUAGGAACGGAUGGGGGCAUUCGUAUUGCGACGUUAGAGGUGAAAUUCUUGGAUCGUCGCAAGACGGACAGAAGCGAAAGCAUUUGCCAAAAACGCUUUCAUUGAUCAAGAACGAAAGUUAGAGGUUCGAAGGCGAUCAGAUACCGCCCUAGUUCUAACCAUAAACGAUGCCAGCUAGCGAUCCGUCGACGUUCCUCCGAUGACUCGACGGGCAGCUUCCGGGAAACCAAAGCUUUUGGGUUCCGGGGGAAGUAUGGUUGCAAAGCUGAAACUUAAAGGAAUUGACGGAAGGGCACCACCAGGAGUGGAGCCUGCGGCUUAAUUUGACUCAACACGGGAAACCUCACCAGGCCCGGACACCGGAAGGAUUGACAGAUUGAGAGCUCUUUCUUGAUUCGGUGGGUGGUGGUGCAUGGCCGUUCUUAGUUGGUGGAGCGAUUUGUCUGGUUAAUUCCGAUAACGAACGAGACUCUAGCCUGCUAACUAGGCGUAUUUUCGACAUCUCAAAGGUCCGUCGUCCCGGCCCUCGGGUCGUGGGCGUGCGCGAUUUUUACUGUCGGCGUACUAUCAAUUCCUCUUAGAGGGACAGGUGGCUUCUAGCCGCACGAGAUUGAGCAAUAACAGGUCUGUGAUG
rnacentral:rRNA from 1 species